rnacentral:rRNA from 1 species
UACGUAGGGCGCAAGCGUUGUCCGGAAUUAUUGGGCGUAAAGAGCUCGUAGGCGGUCUGUCGCGUCUGCUGUGAAAACGCGGGGCUUAACCCCGCGCUUGCAGUGGGUACGGGCAGGCUAGAGUGCGGUAGGGGAGACUGGAAUUCCUGGUGUAGCGGUGGAAUGCGCAGAUAUCAGGAGGAACACCGGUGGCGAAGGCGGGUCUCUGGGCCGUUACUGACGCUGAGGAGCGAAAGCAUGGGGAGCGAACAGG